CUUAAGAGCAGAGGAAAUCAAAUUAGUGCGCACACUAUUAAAUCAAGAGGGUUUAUUUAUGCUACCCACAUUUUCCUUUUCAGAGAAGAUGGGGUGUCAAUUUUAAUCUUGGACGGUUGGACCCACAAGGCAAAUAUUAGAAAAAAGGAUGGAAACCCUUCAAGCAACACUGACUAUUGAGCUACCAUGCCUAUUAAUUCUUGAAAUUGAAAUAUCAUUACAGAAAAUUCACCUAAACUCCAUAAAUAGCAGAUCAGCUAAAAAUUAAAGGGAACCAAACAAAAUCAGUGAUAAUAAUAAUAAUAAUAAUA
rnacentral:misc_RNA from 1 species